rnacentral:lncRNA from 1 species
UUCUCCCCACUGGACCAAGAGUUCUGUGGGGGCUGGGCCAGGGGUGAUGCCUGCUGUUCUCACCUUGCAUUUCCUCUGCUCAGUGCUGGGCACUUGGGAAGAUGAACACAUCAGGGCAGUAGACAGGCUUGCUCAUGCCCAUCAACACACUUGUCAAUGUCCUGCCACUGUCACCUUGACCCGGAUUCUAAAGACCAAGGGACCCUCAGGUCAGCCCACUUCUGCUCAGACCCUCCUAAGUGACAGAAGGAUGGAAACAGCCCUGAGCUGGGGUUCAUGGCUGAAGAGAGGGGGCCUGGAGAGAUGAGGAGCCUGGAGCUGUGGGGCCAGCCUGCCCUGAGAUGCGGGAGGAGUGAGCUGGGCAGAGCCACAUGGGGUGGUCUCCUGGCCUCGCUGGGUGGAAAUGAGGGUGGUUUGUUGGGUGGCCCGGUCCGCAAAGCAGGGAGGACUUGGGGCCAGCGUUUCUUGAAAGGUAGGGAUUUUCUGAAUCCUCGGGGAUUGAAGGAGAGACCUGAGGUUGUGCCUGGAUAUUUGGUUCUGGCAGAGCAGGCAAGCUGGGAGGCCGUGUGGGUCAGAGAGGGGAGAGCUACACUGGGAGGCAAAGGACCCGAGUUAUCUUGUCCCUGCCCUGCCAUGAAUUUCCGUGUGACCCUGAGUAAGCCCCUGGUCAUCGCUGAGCCCCUGCUUCCUCUUCUAUGAAAUGGGGCGGGGCUGGGACACACUGAGUUCUGAGAAAUCCCGGGAUUCUAGGAAAAACCAUAACCUCUCCCAGCCUCACAGAGCCCAGUGCAGCCUCCAGGGGAAUUAUCAUUUACAUGAUUUUGAUUUCAAGUUGGACAAUAACCCUGAGAGGAGCCUUCAUAGAGAAAUGAAGACCCGAAGAAACAGGCCUGAGGAUUUCGAUGCUGGGUUUGCCGUGUGGGAACACCAGAGGGCAGGAAGACGAGGUGAGUGCUCCACCAGGGGGAGACCUAGCAAGCCCUGCUUGUUCAGAUCCUUCUUGGCAUCCCUUUUCCUCCGAGAUAAGGGUGGUCCUUUCUUCCAGUACAAGGAAGAUGCCACAAAUGUGACCGUUUGUGACCUGUUUCAGGGGAGAAGGGCAGGGGGGAGGUCAGAGAGACCUCCCUUUUUCUCAACUCCCUUCAGCUUCAAGUGUUUGAUAUGCCCAGGUGCCAUAUUUCGGGCCUAGUGAGUCCUGAAGCCCAUCUGGACCAGUGGCAGCCAUCUUAGAAGCUGCCUACCAUACAGCACAUGUGAAAUGUUGACGAUCUUAAGUGAAACCAAGACAACAGGAUGCAAAACUGCAUACACAGGAGGAUGACAUCUGACCACUGAGCUCCCAGCAGGAGUCCAGCCCCUCCCCAACCACGGGCAGCAGGCCUUGGUGGCUCCCACAUACGGAGCCACAGGUCCACUCUCAUCUCUUACUAGUUACAUUGGUUAAAUGUUGAUGUUGAAUACGCUUCAGUUGAAAAGAAUGAGGUGACCUCUAAUGAAGGCUCAUUUGGCAACAUCCAUCAAAAUC